GGUGCAUCCUAGAACAAUUUACCUCCAUGAAUGUGAGCGUGAUAAAGAAGUGUUUGUGAGUUUAAGACCUCACCUACCUAUCCGUGGAAGACCCUUCAAAUUUGAGAUUUUUUACGAUGGUUCAAAGCAUCAAAAUGUAGUGGGGAAAAUAUGUGUACGGGGGACGGAAGUGCAAAGACGUUGUGUAAGCGAACUGACAAACAGGCACUCCAUUUAUCGACCUUCAUGGAUCAGAAUAACAGCGAUAUGUCCUAAAACAGACAGUGCAAGGACCACCAACGAAGUCGAUGUCGAUUUUCAUAACACAUUUGGUGAUCCAUUUUCCAACCUGUUUUGGGGCAGUUACAAUUUCCUACCUAUUAAGGUAACUAGAAAAUACAUGCAUGCAGUAACCCUCGCCUUGCUGAAUUCCAAACAUGAACUAUUGUCAUGGUAACACGGUAAUUUUAAGAAUAGUUUUAAAAUUGAAAAAUCCCCCGAAAUAUCACUUUUAAUUACAAAAUGAUCAAUUUCCCAAACAUAUAUAUGCUAGGUAUGUUAUUAUACGUAAUAUAAGCUUCAAUUUAAUGUGAAAUUCAACCACAAACGCUUCGCAAAACGUUUUAAAAUGUUCUUAAAACUAAAAGCAAACAAUACUGAUCAAAUUAAAGACAAACGUACCUUCAUUAACGCCGGCGACUUUGCUCCAUUCUUUUAGACGUUUUCAGACGGUUUUUGGUUCUCAAAAAGGUUUUUGAAAUUUGCAAAAUCUUGCAAAAACCGAAGCAAAAAUUAAACACAAAAUAUUAGCUGAUUUGCAAGAAAUGUUUGUUAUUUCGCUGUCGUCAUUUGUCAUACAACAACAAAUUUUAAAUUUGACGAAUCAGUGUUCGCUAUUCAUGACAGUCCGCCACAUAUUUUGAGAUCAGCGAGGAUGACCACCCACUGAACAUCGUUGGUCACCCACGCCCGCGAUCAUUGAUGAACUUCAGACUUCGCUAAUGCUUUCGUUUCCCCGGGUGUAAAUAGCCGGGCGGAUUUAGUACCCUCGCCGUUGGCCGGGGAUAAAAAAAGAUAUUGAAAUGACUUUUUACGGAAUACCAAAAAACGAAUUUUUAGUCUUACCUAUUCAAUUCAAGAAGCGACGUAAAUAUAUAUUAACUAUUAAAAUUAACUAUGAAGAGAAAUUUAAACUUUUCAGAGCUGCAGUGGUAACUUGUUUGUCUUUGUAGUCAUUGCUCGUAAUAGCUAUAUAAAAAUUCAUAAUUACAUCUUUCUUGGUUAAUUCAUAAUUCAUCCCAAUUCCCACACGUUUGCAUUCUUAGAUACUUUUUAAAUUUUUAGAUAUCACUAACUUCGAGAGGCACAAAGCUCUGUAAAUCUACAACGGAUCCAAAUAUUUAUACAUUUGAUAAUCGGUAUCGUAUUCUAUUCCUGUUUAAAUAUAUGUUCUUGCCACGAGAUGACACUGCACUCACAUAAUUAAAAAGAACUAUAGUUUAUGAUAUAGUUAUAGUGCUUUAAUAUUAUAUUUGUUUAUUUAUUUUUACUUAAAUAUCUAAAUUCCGAAAGCUUAGAUAUUUACAGGAAAUUUAUAUACUGAAAUUUCACUUUUUUUAACCUAUUGUUUAGAUAUUACAAUCCUGGUAUGGCUGGCAAAGAAGGAACAUUUCGUCUCUAUCGUAACAGAUACUCAGGGACUGAGGUAAACCUUACCGUCCAUUGCACAUAUCCACAGAUAGCUGAGAUAGACAAGUAGUAAUAUACAGGUAGUUCGGGCCCCUUUUUGGGGGGCGCCGAUUAUUAGUGCAAAUGGGGUGCCGCAGGGCGGAGGAGGGCGAAGGAAGGAUGCGCGCGUAUGUCAUAUAAUGUUUGCAUGACGUCAUAUAAUGCAUGCAUAACAUACCUGAAAUGAGAGUGAGCUAACUUAAUAUUCGUGAGGGUAAGGAAUUAAUUUAUAUUCGUGAUUGUUCAUGAGGGUAAGGUGGAUUGAGGCUGAGGAGUAUUAUAUAUGCAAGACGUCGUAGAACAAGACUGGACGAGUUUAUACGAAACAAUAAUUAUGCUGAACUUAGCGUUUUUACAACAACAGGUCUUAUUCCCGAUGCCUAUGAUAUAUAUAUACGUGCAUUGCCUGAGUCAAACAUCGCAAACAUAUAUUUAUAGAAAUAUAUCUGGCAGAUAGGCAUAGUAUUAAAAGCGUUCCUAAAGUUUUAUACGAAUAUUCGAGUAUGCUGAGAAGUGGAUCCUGUAUGUCGUUGCAAGUUUUUUUAACAACGAUUUGCGUCUUCGCAGCAUUCUCCACUUUUCCCUUGCUUUGCGGGUGGUAAGGAUUAGAGGUAAAAAAUGGUUAAAAUUCCAUCCGUCACUGAAAUCUUUAAAACGUUCGCUGUUGAAUGGCGUGCCAUUAUCACUCAUCACCCUAGUAGGAAUAUGUCGAGCAAACCACGACUUCAGUACGGUGAUGACACGCGAUACCACUGUGCUUAUCAUGUCUUGAACUUCACGUCUUCGACUAAACCAUCCAGAAUAAUAAUCCAUCGCUAUUAGGAAUGUCUGUUUGUCCAACUUGAAUAAAUCUAUUCCGACUCUCUCCCACGGUAUAGUUAGGCGCUUUGUUAGGGUACAAUAGUUCUUGGCACUGUUCUGGUCGAUAUCUGUUACAAAUUCCACAUUUAGGUCUAGUUGAAUCAGCUUAAAUAAAAAUGGGGUCCGCAGGGAAGAUUUGCCACGGGCCCCGCGAAUUUUCUCGGCGGCCCUGAGUUGUACCUUUCUCGCACGCAACUGUGAGCUGUCUGUGAUAAGCCACGCCUAUAUUUGUGGAAGGCCACGCCCAUUUAGUCGGUAAAAUCGGGAUACAGCACUGGCAACUGCGAUCAUCCCUCUUCCGGGGCUAGGAAUUUCAAUAUUAUGAACAUCUGGAAGUAUCGAAAAUAGGAGGCAUUUACUAAGUUAUACGAUUUACUAUUACCUAACGUAUUUACUAAUACUUAUGUCAAUAUUAAUGUUGUAUAAAUUUUAUAAACAAAAUUUGUGAUAUUAUUUAGUGUUGUAGCACCCGAGUUAUUUUUGUCAUUUAUACUUACAUUUCUCUGGGUAUGCCCUUAAAUAUAUUAGUUAUAUUUGCGAACAGUUUUCCAAACAUAAACCUAUAGACUUUUUGCAGGUACAAGCAAGGCUCGAUAAAUGUUGCAACUGUGGAGUGGCUAUUAAAGAAGGAUAUUAUUUCAAAAUUAUUGAAUUGUGCUCCAGUAUUAUGGCAGGAGAUCCAAUAAUUAUAGCGAAGACAAGAUACACUUCAGAUAUGGCGAAAAAUGGGUUUUAUACGGAAAGGGCGUCAAAAGAUUUUAACGCCGGU
rnacentral:lncRNA from 1 species